UCUGUGGAAAGAAGUAAGUUUGUAAUUUCAAAUCCUUUUCUUUUUAGAUUGCAGAAGAAAUCCGUUAUGUUAUUGACUCACAUGACCAGCCAGUCCCAGCAGUGUUAGAAAUCCCCAGCAAAGAUUCACCCUACGAUUCCAGUAAAGAUUCCAUUCUAAGGAGAGCCAAGGGUAUGUUCUCAGCUGAAGAUAUGAGAUGAGGAUUGUGCACCGCAGCAUGGAGAGGGUAGAUAUUGUAUUUAUUCGGAACUCUGAAUUAUUGAAAUGUGACAGUGUUAUCAGAUACUAUAUAUAUGUGACCUGCUGUUUGUGAACAUUUGUGUAUUUGUUAGAUGAAUUUCUGUAAAAGGUAUACAUUCCAGUGAUAUUGUGGUGAUUAUAUAUAUACAUGUAGCAAAAAGUAUAUUAAUUUUGAUUUACUUGAAAUGGUGAAAUAUAGAAAGGUUCUUCAAAAAUUUUUGUAAAGCUGAAAUGGCACAUUUUUAUGGACAUAUACAGUGUUCUAAUCUACUGUAGAUUUAUAUAAAGUAUGAACAAAUAUAGCUAUAGUGCUAGUGUUUUUUUUUUAUGUAUAAUCCACAUAGUUAUGUGCAAUCUAGUCAAUGGGUAGCAUAAAAGUAUAUUCAGCCAAUAAAAA